GUCGAGCGGGAUCCAUCCAGUAGCAAUACUGGUGAAGAUCUAGCGGCGAACGGGUGAGUAACACGUGAGAAACCUGCCCCGGACUCUGGGAUAACACGAGGAAACCCGUGCUAAUACCGGAUACCUUCUUUUGACCGCAUGGUCAGCUGAAGAAAGAUUUAUCGGUUUGGGAGGGUCUCGCGGCCUAUCAGCUAGUUGGCGGGGUAAUGGCCCACCAAGGCAUCGACGGGUAGCUGGUCUGAGAGGACGAUCAGCCACACUGGGACUGAGACACGGCCCAGACUCCUACGGGAGGCAGCAGUGGGGAAUCUUGCGCAAUGGGCGAAAGCCUGACGCAGCAACGCCGCGUGCGGGAUGAAGGCCUUCGGGUUGUAAACCGCUUUCAGCAGGGAAGAAAUUGACGGUACCUGCAGAAGAAGCCCCGGCCAACUACGUGCCAGCAGCCGCGGUAACACGUAGGGGGCGAGCGUUGUCCGGAUUUAUUGGGCGUAAAGAGCUCGUAGGCGGUUCGGUAAGUCGGGUGUGAAACCUCCAGGCUCAACCUGGAGACGCCACCUGAUACUGCUGUGACUAGAGUCCGGUAGGGGAGUGUGGAACUCCUGGUGUAGCGGUGAAAUGCGCAGAUAUCAGGAAGAACACCAGCGGCGAAGGCGGCACUCUGGGCCGGUACUGACGCUGAGGAGCGAAAGCGUGGGUAGCAAACAGGAUUAGAUACCCUGGUAGUCCACGCCGUAAACGUUGGGCACUAGGUGUGGGUCUCAACCAACGAGAUCCGUGCCGCAGCUAACGCA
rnacentral:rRNA from 1 species